rnacentral:rRNA from 1 species
GAUGAACGCUGGCGGCGUGCCUAAUACAUGCAAGUCGAGCGAACAGAUGAGGAGCUUGCUCCUCUGACGUUAGCGGCGGACGGGUGAGUAACACGUGGAUAACCUACCUAUAAGACUGGGAUAACUUCGGGAAACCGGAGCUAAUACCGGAUAAUAUAUUGAACCGCAUGGUUCAAUGGUGAAAGACGGUUUUGCUGUCACUUAUAGAUGGAUCCGCGCCGCAUUAGCUAGUUGGUAAGGUAACGGCUUACCAAGGCAACGAUGCGUAGCCGACCUGAGAGGGUUCGCGGCCACACUGGAACUGAGACGCGGUCCAGACUCCUACGGGAGGCAGCAGGAGGGAAUCGUCCGCAAUGGGCGAGAGCGUGACGGAGCAACGCCGCGGGAGUGAUGAAGGUCUGCGGAUCGUAAAACUCUGUUAUUAGGGAAGAACAAAUGGGUAAGUAACUAUGCGCGUCGUGACGGUACCUAAUCAGAAAGCCACGGCUAACUAC